rnacentral:rRNA from 1 species
CCUACGGGUGGCUGCAGUGGGGAAUAGUGGACAAUGGGGGGAACCCUGAUCCAGCCAUGCCGCGUGUGUGAAGAAGGCCCUCGGGUUGUAAAGCACUUUCAGUGAGGAAGAACGCCUAGUGGUUAAUACCCAUCAGGAAAGACAUCACUCACAGAAGAAGCACCGGCUAACUCCGUGCCAGCAGCCGCGGUAAUACGGAGGGUGCGAGCGUUAAUCGGAAUUACUGGGCGUAAAGCGCGCGUAGGUGGCUUGAUAAGCCGGUUGUGAAAGCCCCGGGCUCAACCUGGGAACGGCAUCCGGAACUGUCAAGCUAGAGUGCAGGAGAGGAAGGUAGAAUUCCCGGUGUAGCGGUGAAAUGCGUAGAGAUCGGGAGGAAUACCAGUGGCGAAGGCGGCCUUCUGGACUGACACUGACACUGAGGUGCGAAAGCGUGGGUAGCAAACAGGAUUAGAUACCCGUGUAGUC